rnacentral:tRNA from 1 species
GCCUGGGUGGCUUAGUCAGUUGAGCGUCCAACUUUGGCCCAGGUCACAGUCCGUGGGUUCGAGCCCCGCCUCGGGCU